rnacentral:rRNA from 1 species
AGCAGCCGCGGUAAUUCCAGCUCCAAUAGCGUAUAUUAAAGUUGUUGCAGUUAAAAAGCUCGUAGUUGAAUUUCGGGGUCAGUAGGUUGGUCGUGCCACUGGUAUGUACUGGUCUCACUGAUUCCUCCUUCUUGUAGAACCGUAAUGCCAUUAAUUUGGUGUUGCGGGGAAACAGGACUGUUACUUUGAAAAAAUUAGAGUGUUUAAAGCAGGCUAACGCCUGAAUACAUUAGCAUGGAAUAAUGAAAUAGGACGUUCGAUCCUAUUUUGUUGGUUUCUAGGAUUGACGUAAUGAUUAAUAGGGAUAGUUGGGGGCAUUAGUAUUCAAUUGUCAGAGGUGAAAUUCUUGGAUUUAUUGAAGACUAACUACUGCGAAAGCAUUUGCCAAAGAUGUUUUCAUUAAUCAAGAACGAAAGUUAGGGGAUCGAAGACGAUCGGAUACCGUCGUAGUCUUAACCAUAAACUAUGCCGACUAGGGAUCGGAUGAUGUUAAUUUUUUAAUGACUCA